GGCAGCCGCGGUAAUUCCAGCUCCAAUAGCGUAUAUUAAAGUUGUUGCAGUUAAAAAGCUCGUAGUUGAACUUCGGGGUUUACCCAUUGGUCAGGCUUAAUUGUCUGUACUGGUGAGAUGAAUCUCUACCUUCUGAGGAACUUUCAUGCCAUUUAUUUGGUGUGGUUGGAAAUCAGGACUGUUACUUUGAAAAAUUAGAGUGUUUAAAGCAGACUAUCGUCUGAAUACAUUAGCAUGGAAUAAUGAAAUAGGACGGACUGAUUCUAUUUCGUUGGUUUCUAGGAUCACCGUAAUGAUUAAUAGGGAUAGUUGGGGGCAUUAGUAUUCAAUUGUCAGAGGUGAAAUUCUUGGAUUCAUUGAAGACUAACUACUGCGAAAGCAUUUGCCAAGGAUGUUUUCAUUAAUCAAGAACGAAAGUUAGGGGAUCGAAGACGAUCAGAUACCGUCGUAGUCUUAACCAUAAACUAUGCCGACUAGGGAUCGGACGAAGUUAAUUUUAUAA
rnacentral:rRNA from 1 species